rnacentral:rRNA from 1 species
AUUGAACGCUGGCGGCAUGCUUUACACAUGCAAGUCGAACGGUAACAGGUUAAGCUGACGAGUGGCGAACGGGUGAGUAAUGCAUCGGAACGUGCCCGAUCGUGGGGGAUAACGCAGCGAAAGCUGCGCUAAUACCGCAUACGAUCUGAGGAUGAAAGCGGGGGACCGUAAGGCCUCGCGCGAUCGGAGCGGCCGAUGGCAGAUUAGGUAGUUGGUGGGGUAAAGGCUCACCAAGCCGACGAUCUGUAGCUGGUCUGAGAGGACGACCAGCAACACUGGGACUGAGACACGGCCCAGACUCCUACGGGAGGCAGCAGUGGGGAAUUUUGGACAAUGGGCGAAAGCCUGAUCCAGCAAUGCCGCGUGCAGGAAGAAGGCCUUCGGGUUGUAAACUGCUUUUAUACGGAGCGAAAAGGCUCUCUCUAAUACAGGGGGCUCAUGACGGUACCGUAAGAAUAAGCACCGGCUAACUACGUGCCAGCAGCCGCCGUAA